CGGGUGAGUAACGCGUGGGGAAUCUGCCUUUGAGCGGGGGACAACAUUUGGAAACGAAUGCUAAUACCGCAUAAAAACUUUAAACACAAGUUUUAAGUUUGAAAGAUGCAAUUGCAUCACUCAAAGAUGAUCCCGCGUUGUAUUAGCUAGUUGGUGAGGUAAAGGCUCACCAAGGCGAUGAUACAUAGCCGACCUGAGAGGGUGAUCGGCCACAUUGGGACUGAGACACGGCCCAAACUCCUACGGGAGGCAGCAG
rnacentral:rRNA from 1 species